rnacentral:rRNA from 1 species
CCCAGUUCGGACUGUAGUCUGCAACCCGACUACACGAAGCCGGAAUCGCUAGUAAUCGCGGAUCAGAAUGCCGCGGUGAAUACGUUCCCGGGUCUUGUACACACCGCCCGUCACGCCAUGGGAGUCGGAAAUGCCCGAAGUCAGUGACCGAACCGAAAGGAAGGAGCUGCCGAAGGUGGAGCCGGUAACUGGGGUGAAGUCGUAACAAGGUAGC